GGACCUGACUGCUAUCGGAUUGAUACUAAGCCAUGCGAGUCAUUGUAGCAAUACAAGGCAGACGGCUCAGUAACGCGUAGUCAACCUAACCUAUGGACGGGAAUAACCUCGGGAAACUGAGAAUAAUGCCCGAUAGAACACUAUACCUGGAAUGGUUUGUGUUCCAAAUGAUUUAUCGCCGUAGGAUGGGACUGCGGCCUAUCAGUUUGUUGGUGAGGUAAUGGCCCACCAAGACUAUUACAGGUACGGGCUCUGAGAGGAGUAGCCCGGAGAUGGGUACUGAGACACGGACCCAGGCCCUAUGGGGCGCAGCAGGCGAGAAAACUUUGCAAUGUGCGAAAGCACGACAAGGUUAAUCCGAGUGGUUUCUGCUAAAGGAACCUUUUGCCGGUCCUAGAAACACCGAUGAAUAAGGGGUGGGCAAGUUCUGGUGU
rnacentral:rRNA from 1 species